GAUGAACGCUGGCGGCGUGCCUAAUACAUGCAAGUCGAGCGAACGGACGAGAAGCUUGCUUCUCUGAUGUUAGCGGCGGACGGGUGAGUAACACGUGGAUAACCUACCUAUAAGACUGGGAUAACUUCGGGAAACCGGAGCUAAUACCGGAUAAUAUUUUGAACCGCAUGGUUCAAAAGUGAAAGACGGUCUUGCUGUCACUUAUAGAUGGAUCCGCGCUGCAUUAGCUAGUUGGUAAGGUAACGGCUUACCAAGGCAACGAUGCAUAGCCGACCUGAGAGGGUGAUCGGCCACACUGGAACUGAGACACGGUCCAGACUCCUACGGGAGGCAGCAGUAGGGAAUCUUCCGCAAUGGGCGAAAGCCUGACGGAGCAACGCCGCGUGAGUGAUGAAGGUCUUCGGAUCGUAAAACUCUGUUAUUAGGGAAGAACAUAUGUGUAAGUAACUGUGCACAUCUUGACGGUACCUAAUCAGAAAGCCACGGCUAACUACGUGCCAGCAGCCGCGGUAAUACGUAGGCGGCAAGCGUUAUCCGGAAUUAUUGGGCGUAAAGCGCGCGUAGGCGGUUUUUUAAGUCUGAUGUGAAAGCCCACGGCUCAACCGUGGAGGGUCAUUGGAAACUGGAAAACUUGAGUGCAGAAGAGGAAAGUGGAAUUCCAUGUGUAGCGGUGAAAUGCGCAGAGAUAUGGAGGAACACCAGUGGCGAAGGCGACUUUCUGGUCUGUAACUGACGCUGAUGUGCGAAAGCGUGGGGAUCAAACAGGAUUAGAUACCCUGGUAGUCCACGCCGUAAACGAUGAGUGCUAAGUGUUAGGGGGUUUCCGCCCCUUAGUGCUGCAGCUAACGCAUUAAGCACUCCGCCUGGGGAGUACGACCGCAAGGUUGAAACUCAAAGGAAUUGACGGGGACCCGCACAAGCGGUGGAGCAUGUGGUUUAAUUCGAAGCAACGCGAAGAACCUUACCAAAUCUUGACAUCCUUUGACAACUCUAGAGAUAGAGCCUUCCCCUUCGGGGGACAAAGUGACAGGUGGUGCAUGGUUGUCGUCAGCUCGUGUCGUGAGAUGUUGGGUUAAGUCCCGCAACGAGCGCAACCCUUAAGCUUAGUUGCCAUCAUUAAGUUGGGCACUCUAAGUUGACUGCCGGUGACAAACCGGAGGAAGGUGGGGGUGACGUCAAAUCAUCAUGCCCCUUAUGAUUUGGGCUACACACGUGCUACAAUGGACAAUACAAAGGGCAGCGAAACCGCGAGGUCAAGCAAAUCCCAUAAAGUUGUUCUCAGUUCGGAUUGUAGUCUGCAACUCGACUACAUGAAGCUGGAAUCGCUAGUAAUCGUAGAUCAGCAUGCUACGGUGAAUACGUUCCCGGGUCU
rnacentral:rRNA from 1 species